GCAGCAAGAUGUGAUAAUAACUAACAUAGAUAUAGGAAUCACCAGUUGACAAAAAAGGGUUGACAACACAAUAAUGAGCACUUAAUAGGAUCACACAGACAUGAUACUGCUCCAACUUAGGGUAUCUGGAUAACACAAACUCAAUACUAUAACUUAGGGUAGCUGGAUCACAGACAAAAUAGUACUCAAAACCUAGCUGGAUCUUGGAUAACCACGGGCAACUUCUGGCAACUUCUGGGCUUAUUCUCCACCGUCUCCUCCUAGUCACCGGUGACCUUGUUCACUGAUGUGUGAUGUCUCCUCAUCACCAGUAACAUUUUCUCCCGUCCUCUCGUCCUCGUCAUCGGUGACCUCAAUUUCAUCCUCCACAGAGCCCGUGACCUUGUUCGCUGACGUCUCCUCAUCACCAGUGACAUUUUCUCCCGUCCCCUCGUCCUCAUCAUCGGUGACCUCAAUUUCAUCCUCCACGGAGCCCGUGGCUCUGUACUGCUCCAUGAGGGCCUGCUCGUAGCUGCGGACCUUCUCAUGGACUAACAUUGCUCUCCUAUAGGCUUCGCGGAAUUGCUGGGAUUUGUCGGCAAGGUCUUCAUCGGAGAGCUCAUACACAAUCUUACACGGCUUUGCUACAAUUGAGUCGAUGACAUCCUGCGGCAGCUUCUUCCUGACCACCUUCUUCCUCUUCUUCUCGACCCCGGCCGGCUGCGCCUUCCUCGCCGCGGGCUUCGUCGGCAGCAUGAUAUCCAACGCCGCCAUCGCCUCCUUCCUCUUCUUCAGGAUCUUACCGCCCAAGCCCAACGUGCUCGCUUCCUUCAGCUUGAGUCCAAGGUCACCGCCCUCCGGCGCGCUCGCCUCCUUCCCCUUCUUCCUGGUCCCGGCUGGCGCCUGGGGCUCCUCCGCCGUGGGGUUCUUCAGGAUGUCAACCCCCUCCG
rnacentral:lncRNA from 1 species